CAGGGUGUGGUGCAGCCUGGCAGCAUGCUUGCUUUGGGAGCAAGAGGUCGCGAGUUCGAAUCUCGCCGCCCCGA
rnacentral:tRNA from 1 species